UCCAUUCACAUAUUCAUCCGCAUGCACCGUCGAAGUGAGCGAGAGAGCCUCUCAUUCAUAAAAAAAAAAAAAGAAAAGUUCAUUCAUAAAAGCUGCACACUUGCUGUGCGCCUCAGAGAGAAGAGACCGAGGGGAGGAAAGUUGAUGUAGAGCUGUGAGCCGACUGAGUGCACGGGUCACUCAUCGUGACCAGGAACUUUAGGCUACGGCGGACGUCUCCUGUCCCACGCUGUGCUCUCCCCCCCCCCAGUCCAGUUUCUUGAUUAUGAGAGUGCAAACCUCACCCAGGUUCAAAUCACACACGGGAGUCUUACCAGACAUGUUGAAGCGCACCAAAUACAGUCGUCUGCGCAACGAUUCGCUGACGCCCCUGGAGGAUCGGCCCCAGAGGAUGCUGCCCUCCAAGCGGGACCUUUGCCUCGACUCUGAUUUUGCCCAGGUGGAGGCCCGGGGCGCGACCCCACACCACGGGACGUCCACCCUGAGGGACUUCAUCCCCCGCGUGGCCAACAUCCGAUUGCAAAAUCCAAUUUCCCUUCGGGGACCGAGGGGACAGACCAGCACAGAGCGGGACAGAACCAUUAAUGGACACACUGAGGGACCUUUAUCCAGAGCAGGACGGGGCUCGGGUCCCGAACAGAGAUUUUGUAGCCAUCCUCCCCACAAUGGGGCCCUGUCUCACGCCGCUCUGCGCUGCACAAAAAGACCCAUCACCCUGCAUCGGGUAGCCGGCCUCCCCAGGACCGCCGACUGUCCUCCCUGCUCACAGCGCAGAGACGGUCCUUUGAAGACCUCCUCGGCUGCAGAGGACUGCACAGCGGUGGGAACGGCAAGCAGAAUGGUUCACCAUCACAUCAAGUACAUGGGUAGUGUGGAGGUGACCCAGUCCAUGAGGACCCUCGACUUUGAUAUGAGAAUGAAAGUCACACGAGAGGCAAUCAGUAGACUGUGUGAGAGGACAUCAGCAGCGAAAACUAAAAAGCCUGUGUGCAAGGGACUGCCUGCCCUUCUGGGUCAAAUCAACCUUCAGUUUUCAGGCAGUAGAAUCGUCCUCACUGUCUCCACAGACAGCGUGACAAUGAUCACUGCCUCUUCCUUUCAGAAGAUUGCCCACCACCCCAUGCAGGCUGUUUCAUUUGCCUCAGGAGGAGAUCCAGACAUGGCCAAUUACAUCGCUUAUGUUGCCAAGGACCUCGUCAAUCAGAGAGCAUGUCACAUCCUGGAGUGUCCGAGGGGUCGUGCCAGCGAGGUAAUCAACAGCAUCGGUCAGGCCUUCGAGAAUCGUUUCCGACAACUUCUCAACCACACGCCGUCGCUCCUCUCCAACAGGUCAGUGGUGAGGAUCUGUCCCAAAUCGAGCCCAGAGGAGAGAGUAUCCGACCCAAAGGCCAACCAGGAAGUGGAAGCCAGCGAGCAGCGUGACUACUACAACGUGGUCCCUAGAAAGACGCCGUCCGCUGGUGGAAUAAAGGACCUGGUUAUCACCAGCGUGGAAAACAAACAGGAUCCUGACAUAUUUGGGGUAAGAGUGACAUUAACAUUAGAUAUUUAUUUAGCAUCCGGGAGACCAGAAAAAAACCAGAACAAGAAGUUCAACUUUUCUCCAAAGCUUUCAAAUGCAUCUCCUGCUCAGUAUAUCGAGGUAUUCUGUUGUCAUGAAAAUGUGCAUCAUUUUCUGGUCAAAGAACUAGACAGUUAGCGCUCAUUAUGAGCCCCUUGGGUUAAUGCUAAUAGUUCUUAGGCGUGUGCCUGUAAUGUAUUUAAACCCUCUUUUAGUUGUUGGUAAUAACUUUCCUAAACGAUUGUGCUACUGCGGAAAUUGAGUACGGGGAUUUUCUGGUUAUGAGCAAAUGUCUCCAACCGGUUUGUUCCUUUGAGCCUCUUUCCCUCUAUGAGAACUGCUCCAUCACAGAAGAAACUUCAGCUCCACCUGCAGAGUCAGUGGCGUGUGAGACCAGUGCUGAACGUUCUGAGACACUGAUCCAGGACCUGAUCCAGGAGGAAGUCUGGUUCCACGGCAGAUUGGGAAGGGAUCAGGCGGAGUCACUUCUCACCUGCAGCGGGGAUUUUCUGGUCAGAGAGAGCAGCUCUGCGUCUGGUCAGUAUGUUCUCAGCGGGAUGGAGGGAGCCACCGUGCGUCACCUGCUGCUGGUGGAUCCACUUGGACAGGUACGGACCCGCGAUCAGGUGUUUUUGAGUGUUGGUCACCUGGUGCGUUUCCACAUGGAGAACAAGAUGCCCAUCAUCUCUGGAAGCAUUGAGCUGUGUCUGAGACAGCCGAUACUACAAAGACACUAACACACACACACGCACAUACACUCAUAGCAUGCAUACGUUUGAGCUGCAGCAGCAGUUCUCUGCUUUUGGAGCUGUCCACAAGCAAAAAAAACUUUAAACCUUUGGACACCUUUUGCAGAACAUACCAACGCUCUCAGGCUGAAUAUAUCAAUCAAUCAUUAAUUAGCUGGUGCUUACUCAAAAUCCAAGCCCAGGGACAAGAAAAUUACCAGAAUGUUGGAAGACUUCCACAAUCAUUCUUUUUGACUUGCUGAAUUCGUCGUGUUCAUUUGUUUUUUUUUGCGGUUGCUUCGUGUUCCCAUUUUCCCUGCUUGACUUUCGAAUCCCAAUUAAAAUGCUUUUUGUAAACAGUCCACAACAACAGAAAAAAUGGGAAAUAUGCAAACAGUAAUGUUUUUUUUCCAGUAAGUUUAUCAAAUAGUCAGCUCUCUUUGUAAUUUAUGUCUUGUUAGUUCUCCAACCACAGAAACACAACUUUAUUUAUCCGUAUCCUUCAUUAUAAGCUAAUUAUCAUCAAGUUGAGGGAAAACUUACAGCACACAUUUACUACUUUACUACUUGUUACAAAAUUAAAUAUACAACUAUACGUUAACAGAGACACACGUCUGACAUGGUAUGUUUCAUCGAGAAAACCCGUUGAAAUGUUUAUUUUCAUCCUUUUUUUCCAUCUGUAAACGUUUCAAACAUUGCAUAGUUGUAUGUAGCGAUUCAAUAUCUAGAUUUAAUUCCUACCAAUGAAAUAAAAGCAAAAACAUUGAUGCAGUUAUAUAUUUCCUACUGCAGCCAAUAUGUCUUUUGAGGUUACAAGUAGCCAGUGAACACACUCCCAUUGGUCAGAAGACAUUUCCUACGUUCACUUUUGUGCUGGAUGCCUCUUUUAUUUUGUAGUACAAAAAGGACAAAACAAUAUUUGAAAGAGCAGCCUGGGAAGAAGUGUAUUGAUUUUCCAGAUCUAUUUCAGCCAGCAAACUGCACAUUAGUCACAUGAUUUAUAGAUUGUGUUUCAGUUUUAUUUAACCUUACACGUGUGGCGUAGACGCGAAUGUGAAAUCUGCUGUCUUAUUUUGUAGGAGUCUAUUUCCUGUGUCCAACAGUGUUCACUACUAUGUGAUUGCAAGAGAGGAAAAGUGGAUUGAUUUAACAGUCAGGUGACUUGGAUAAGUGUUUUGCAGACACAAAAACAAAGUAAAAGUAACGUUACUCAUAAUUGAAAAAAGAUGAUCUGUAAAAAGUAAAAUGAAUGUAGGACGAGUUGCGUGGGGAAGACCUAUAAGCAAAAAGCAUAACGUACCUCAAACAGUUCAAGAAUUAACUCAACAGGUAGGGUAGUUAUUUCCACCACUGCUAAUUUAUGGAGGAAGAUGACGUCACACAAUUUAGUUAACCUUAAUAAAGUACCCUCGUCUCGCGUAACAUUAGCGAUCUCGCCCCGCUAAUUCCAACGCGUCUAGAGUUGCUAUGGAAACUCAUGAUCAAAAGUCUAUUUUGAAUGACAAGUUUUGGUCACCGGCCGUUUUUUCUGCAAUCUUUAGUGGAUAAAAAUGACCUUUUCCGGGGAAGAACAGGCGGAAACAUGAUUGACAUGGAGGAUACAUAUGGAGCCAAAUCCAGGUCAAAAGUUUUGUUCAUUUGAGAAACAAAUGUGAACCUGAAAGUUUUGUUCUUGAACAUUGAAAAAUACAACAAUAUAUUCAAAAUAAAAAUAAGUGCCCAAAAAGUAUUUUCGGGUUGAAUAUAGUUUGGACUGUUUUAUAAUUUUUUUGAAUAAAAUAUUAUUUUUCAUUCUCCCCUUGUAUUUAUUUUUGAUAUUCACUGUAUUAUAUUUUCUAAUUUCAGAUUCAAAUCUUAUAUUUUCGAAUUCAAAACUUUUUUUCGCGUUCGGAUCUUUUUUUCUCACAUUCAGACUUUUGACCCUGAUGUGCUGUAAGGGGCGAUGCAUCAACUGGGAGGGGCGUGUAAUCAUGAGUGACAGACAAUAUAUUAAUUAAUAGUUCAUUGGCAUCGUCGAUAACCCUUUUAAUUUACAUUCAGUGUGUACUGCAAUAACUAACAUGAUAAAAUAAUCAUCAAACAAAUACUGAAAAGAUUCCUAAAAUAACGAUUUAGAUGACAGCAAAGGGUAAAAAGAUUAAAAAAAAUAUUAUUCUAUUAUAGUAGGCUGAAUAUAUUUGUCUUUUGAAUUUUCUGGUGAUUUUUUUUAUUUUUAUUCAUAUCAAAUGCAGUUGCAUCUAAUUGUGAUUUUUAAAUGUAUUUGUCACGUAACUUUUCACAUGUUGAUUAAAAUGUUCCUUUGUAAAUA